rnacentral:rRNA from 1 species
CCUACGGGGGGCAGCAGUGGGGGAUAUUGCACAAUGGGGGGAACCCUGAUGCAGCGACGCCGCGUGGGUGAAGAAGCGCCUCGGCGCGUAAAGCUCUGUCAGCAGGGAAGAAAAUGACGGUACCUGAAGAAGAAGCCCCGGCUAACUACGUGCCAGCAGCCGCGGUAAUACGUAGGGGGCAAGCGUUAUCCGGAUUUACUGGGUGUAAAGGGGGCGCAGACGGCGAUGCAAGCCAGAAGUGAAAGCCCGGGGCUCAACCCCGGGACUGCUCUUGGAACUGGGUGGCUGGAUUGCAGGAGGGGCAGGCGGAAUUCCUGGUGUAGCGGUGAAAUGCGUAGAUAUCAGGAAGAACUCCGGUGGCGAAGGCAGCUUACUAAACUGCCACUGACAUUGAGGCUCGAAAGUGUGGGUAGCAAACAGGAUUAGAUACCCGAGUAGUC